CUGCUAUAUGAAAGGAGAGAAGGUUAAUGGCGCCUCUUGAUAAGGACAGAAGAGGUCCUAGUGGCCUGCCCAAAGUGUAAAGGGUUAAGGCAUUGGCACUUACUUUGUGACAUAGAAUCAUACAGUUGG